rnacentral:rRNA from 1 species
CACAGUAAACGAUGGAUGCCCGCUGUUGGCGACACACUGUCAGCGGCCAAGCGAAAGCGUUAAGCAUCCCACCUGGGGAGUACGCCGGCAACGGUGAAACUCAAAGGAAUUGACGGGGGCCCGCACAAGCGGAGGAACAUGUGGUUUAAUUCGAUGAUACGCGAGGAACCUUACCCGGGCUUGAACUGCAGAGGAAGUAUUGAGAGAUCAUGACGCCCUUCGGGGCCUCUGUGGAGGUGCUGCAUGGUUGUCGUCAGCUCGUGCCGUGAGGUGUCGGCUUAAGUGCCAUAACGAGCGCAACCCCUUCCGUCAGUUGCCAUCACGUAAUGGUGGGCACUCUGGCGGUACUGCCACCGUAAGGUGUGAGGAAGGUGGGGAUGACGUCAAAUCAGCACGGCCCUUACGUCCGGGGCUACACACGUGUUACAAUGGGUGGUACAGAGAGUCGGCCGCAUGCAAAUUCGGUCUAAUCAUGAAAGCCAUCCUCAGUUCGGAUUGGGGUCUGCAACCCGACC